AACAAUUUGUCCAAUCAACAUUGAAAGUUGACCAUUUUGGUUACGUAACGCAUACUGUAAUCGAAAAUGCUCGCAAAAAAAAUUAUAAAUAUAGUCCGUAGAGCAACAAUCACGCCGCACUCGCUUUCGAAAAGAAAGUUUGCGCAAGUCGGCAUAGCAAUAUCUACUCCUCCAAGGAUUCCGUGCUCGUACGGGGAGAAAGUACUACACGUCAUGUUCAUGUACUGCGUUUGGAUCUUUCCAAUGGCCUAUUUUUUAACGCAGCUUAAAGUUUGGCGCAGAGAAUAUAUUCAAGGAUAGAAGAAAUAAAAAUACAAUUAAAUAAAUUAUUCAAAUAUU